rnacentral:lncRNA from 1 species
AAUGAGUAAAUUAGGGAGGGAGGAGCUCUGGAGGAGACAGGAAGAUGAGGAACUGGGCUAGAAGUUUCUAGCCCAGAAAGGGGCAAGCAGGAGUGCUGACCACAUGCAGGAGGGCAGCGGGGAUCCUCCCUGCCACGCCCUGUCCAUGCUUCAGCUCUCCAUGUUUGCGUCACAUCACCAGGAAGGGCCCAGGGAUGCAGGAGCAAGGGUUGAUGCUUGGCAUUGAGAACACAUCUCAGGGACUGGAGGCUUGGGUUGAUUCAAGGGAGAGGCUGCAAAAUCUCCUUCCUUAGACAAGAGGCUGGGUCAAAUUAUUGAUCUCUGGGUUUCAGUAUUACUCAGGGCCGCCCACUGAGUAAUACCUAGUGCCCCCAAGGGGCACUGAGAGAAGUAAAAAGAAGCAGGAAGAAGGAAGAGGAGAAAACAAGGGAGGAAGCGGGAGUGGCCACGUGGCACCUGCAAUCUCAUCAGAGCUGCCCUUGGCCCCACCCGUCCUGUCUAGGAGAAUUGGCACACACUCCCUGGAGUCUGGGCACUGACCAUCAGCAAUGAUGCCAGCCACCGGGCCUCCACAGCUAGGGCGGGAGCAGGGCCCUGGUGCCCAAUGAUGCUUUUAGUUGGCAGAUGGUGGGAGGUUCUGAGGGUCCGGAAGAGGGGCUGAGUCAUCACUCAGGGGGCACUUGGUGGGGUGGGGGAUAGUGACUUUUGCCCAACCCCCAGGUGUCAACUGGCUGCCUGUCAGACAAUGCUUUUAGGUGACCAGAAGGCAAGGAUUUCCCAGUCCCUGGAAACCAGAUGCCCAUCCUCCAUGCAAACAAGUGAGGUGGAGUGUCCGUGCCAGUGCCCACACCUGCCCGGAGGCAGCUGCUCAGGGCCUCUGCACUAUCUCCACCUCACCCUCCCCACGCCUCCCACUCCUUAAAGACCACAGGGCUGGGGGGCAGACACCUGGGAUUCUAAUUUGGUAUGUGACCCCAGGCUACCCCUGGGAGGCUCCUGUCCUCAUCUGCAAAGUGGGGAGAAAGGGGGGUUUCUAUGAGGAUUCAGUGAGACAAUGCCUGGGCACAGGGCUGCCUGGCACCCAGCAGGGAACUUAAUAAAUGUCUGGUUUCCAAUUCCCACCAAUGCAUUUCCCAGCCCUUCUCCUCCCCUCAAGCACUAAUUGUCUGAGUUACGACCCUACUUUGGUGUCUGGCUGCCUACAAGCAAAGUGAGGAGGUCUCCUUCGGUAGAACUGGUGCUGAGCUGAGAAUGGAGCCCUGGCCCGCCCCUUACUUCCAGAGCCUUGGGAGACAUCAUCAACCUCAGCAUCAGCUUCCUCCUCUGGAAAGCAGCCACCCUCUUAAGUAACUGCAAACCAUGCCGGCAAACUGCAAAGUGCUUAAGGCCAGGCAUGAGGACAGGUCAGGAGGCAGGGUUUCGGGCCUGGCAUUCUCAGAGUGGUCUCGGGAAGAACAAACCUGGACACCGAACUGGACAACAGCAGGACUCUGAGCACUUUGGGAGCUGUGUAUGAUGUGUUGCGGGGGUGGGUUGUGUCCAGAUCAAAGGUGGGGAGGCGGUCUAGGCAGCAGCAGGAGGUGUAUUCGAGGUCUGCAGCAAUUCUUGCAGAGCCUGAAUUACAGUGAGGCCCACACCCUCGUCCUGCUGCCCUGGCCUUGGCCAUCUCCCAUGUCAACCUCAUCUUGAUCUUGCCUACCUCCCUCCCCAGAAGCCAGGGGGCCAUUUGGCAUCAGGAACACAGGGAUUAGCUGCACGGCCAGACCCCAGACCCCCGCCCAGGGGUCCCUCUUUGCUCUCCUGGCCAGCCCCACCCCACAGGCACCAACUUGGGCCAAUGCCAGGCCACAGGUCAGACUCCCAGGCCUGGGACUCCUCUGCCCACCCACAACAACCACUGAUGCUCCUCAGCAAGAGCCAACUUCUGGCUCUGAACGCAGCAGCACCCAGGAUACAGCAAGGUGAAUGCUAGGCACUCGUCCCACAGCCUGGGGUGUAGGGGAGGUCAGAGAUACACACAAAUCAAACUCUCUCCUCACUAUAUAUAUAUAUAUAUAUAUAUAUAUAUACACACACACACACACACACACACACACACACACAUACACACAAGCACACCCCACCCACACUCAUUAGGCCUGGAGGGGGGACUUCAGUUCUCCAUCUUUGGCAUCAAUCUAUCAAAGUCAGCUUUUCUGUACGAGACUGCUCGCUCCUUUCUGUACAUGAAUUAAAUAUAUUAUCUGUCUCUGCACUGAGUCACACGACGUUCACAGUACCGUGGGGAGGAGUGGAGGGUGGGGGCCUGAGGUGGGCAGGGCAGGGGGCCUGGGUAGAAAGGCGAG